UUCCUGAUGUUGAGUCAGAAUCUCCUUCCUUGUAAACUGAAUCCAUGGGUUCGAGCCCUACCCUCCAGAGCAGGAGAAAACUAGCUUGCUUCAUCUUCCAUAUGACAGCCCUUUAGAUAUUUGAAGAUGGCUCUCAUAUCUCCUCUCAGUCUCCUCUUUUCCAGGCUAAACAUACCCAGCUCCUCCAACCAUUCCUCAUUGUGGGAAUGU